CUUGGCAGCCUACGUCAUGGCACCUGGAGGUGGCGCUUUGGGGUGGCAUGGAGAGUCUGUGUUUGCUUUGAAGUGCCAGUUUGAGACCCGUCAAGGAAGAUUUGAUCAUAACAAGGACACUGGCGUCCGAUCCAGCCCCAUCCCAAAUAAGCCUGUGCUGGGGAGGCUCUGUGCCUUUCUUUAAGUUUCCGGAUCCCUGAGGACUGGGUAUGAAUCAUCACUGUUAACUGUGUUCUCCGAGCUGCAUCUGAAUCCCUGCAAACAAGAGAAAAGACUUUGCACAUGAUCUCAAGGGAAGCAGGACGGCGAGCCUUGCUAACACCUGUGGUGGGUCCUGCAGCAUUGUUUACAUCAUCACCACUGUCCAUCCAUCUCUGAAAUGGAAAUGAUUGGAUCCUGGACACUCCAAUCCCAGGUGUUUCAACGAAAAUGAUAAAGGGACUCGACGCUCUGUGGCAUGUGAGGUAGGAUGGAGGGUAACAGAGACUCUGUGAUGGUGCCUCGUGAGCAGACUCCGGCCAGAUUCCACAGAAGCAGCAUCAGGAGGAGCACCAGGUCCCCCCAUCCCAUCUUGGUCACCUGGUCAUGAUGAUGCCUGCCAGAUUUCUCCACUUAAAUUCUAAAUUUAAAAAUUCCUCAUGUAAAAAAUUAUAAAUGUAAUUUAAAAUUACACUUUUCCUUUGUAAUUUAUUAAUAUUUUCUGAGGUGAUAUUCCUAGAUUAUGUCAAAAUUCCUGUUCCUCAUGAAACCUUCCCCCUCAGAGUUAGCCUCCAUUGAUGACUUCAGAACGAGGCGUAUCUGUGAAGGCUGCCAGACGGUUACCCUCCAUUUCCAUGAUUCCAUUUGCUUUACUAGUUUGACACUCUAUCAGUAGGAAAUCCCUCUCUAUUCAUUUGUUUCAUUUGUUCAUUUAUUUGCUCAUCUUAAUCAAUGUGGACUCACACAUUCCUCUUCUAUUCAUUGGACUGUGAUCCAUUGUUUUCAUUUAUCAUACUUAAAAUUAUCCUUGAUCUGACCAGUGAGAGACCCCAUAUCUUCUGAAAUGUUCCCACCAUUCCCUGAGCAUUUCCUUAUUUUUCGGCACAAGAAGAUGUUCCAGGUUCACCUUGCACUUUCCAAGCCUUCAUCCUGGAAUUAACCAUUCAUUAUUGUUCAAGAAGCCCUGGUUUAUUUUAGUGAAAGAUGGUUUUCAGAGGCCAGUUGCUGGAUGCUUGUUGUAUUUAUUGUUAUGAGGGUGCUGGUGCUUCUAAGCCCUCUCGAUGGACAGAACUAGGAGAUAUGCACACUCAUGUAGAAUAUCACACACUAAUACGUCUAUAAUGAGAGGAUGGAGGGAUGGAUGGAUAGAUAGAUAGAUAGAUAGAUAGAUAGAUAGAUAGAUAGAUAGAUAGAUAGAUAGAUAGUUUGCUGUCCCACGAGCCAAUCAUUUCUAGAAACACCCUCAUUGACCCACCAGGAAGCCUCUCAAUCUUAGGCAUCUUUAAUCCAAUCAAGUCGACAAGUGAGAUGGACCACUACACACCUCCCAUUCCAACAUCAUCUCAGAGCCCCUCUGGCCUCCCCUCUCUGUGCUUAGAAAUCCCUUCUGCAGCAAUGAGAAACCUGGUUUCCCGACCCUCAUUAGAUACUUAUCUAUGCAAUCAAUCCACGGACUUGCUCAGUAUCAGCUCCCCUGCAUGCUCCUGUCCCUCACACCCCUACCACCACCCGUGUGCACUAUCCCCACUUCCCCCCACCAGUCUACCGCCCCCCCAGCCCAGGCUUCUUCAUGGCCCUCCAAGACCCCCUGACUGUCACUGUUUAGCUGCCAUCUUCUGUCUUCCAUGGGGAUGGGAAUGAGAAAGAGGAGGGGUGGCAAUGUUUCCUUCUACCCACAAAGUCUCUCCUCACUCAAGAGCCCCAGGGAUCCAGUCAUGGCCUUCUUCUGCUCAAAACCAUCUAUGACUCUACAUUUUACUCAGAGUGAAAACCAAAGUUCUGACACUGGCCCAGAAGGUCACACUCAAUCUGGGAUCAGUUACCUACUGUCUUCAUCUCUUGCCAUUUUUCCUCUCACUCUGUUUAUUAUCCUUUUUUAAAAAAACUGCACUCCGUCAAGGCACACCUGAUCCUCCUUAUCCAGCCUGUUUUCCAUCACAUCACCAUUUUCCAACACGCUAAGCAAUUUACUUAAGAAUUAUCGGCACUAUUCAUUAUUUGUCCCCUCCCCAUCACUACCGCCAGCAACAGAACAUAAGGUCCUUUGGGCCAGGGAAUUUUGUUCCCACUGGUGCAUCCUAAACACUUAGAAGAGAGCUUUCUGAAAUUCUCUCCCAAAAUUGUUCAAUUAUUGAUUAACUUAAUUGAUUACUUGAGAGUGGGACCCUCCGAGGUGCCCGACUUAAGAGACAAGGAACAUUCUAAGGACUAUGACAAGAUGACUUGCCGUGUAGACCUGUAUUCCCUUGAAAAUAAAACCUUUCUUUUGUCACACAUUAAAGAGAAGUUAGAAGAGAUUUUUGAAAAGAUGUAAAAAUCCAAAGAUUACUGGGAUCCUCAGCAUGAUUUAUUUCACACUUUCUAAUUCUACUUCCCUUAUGGGGUUAGGCCAGAACCUACUCCUGUUA